CUCGUCCGUAGUGAUCCAAGUGUCCUGAAGCCCCGACAUAAAAAGUUGUUUGGAAAAACCUCAUUUGAACUCUGUUUUUAGCCUCAUUGUAGCCUGUAGCUCUGACUGCCUCUCUGGGCACCGCGCUCACAUGUAAUGUAGUGUAGACGAGCAGUAUGGAGAUAUUUUGUGGUUUCAAUGAUGUGUUUUUGGACGUUUGAAUCUGGGGCGCCGUCAGCCUCCAUUAGGUGGAGUUGUGUUGCUACCUCCUCUCCCCUUGGAUCUCUGCAAGUGAUGUGAGGACUCUAAAACUUCACCUGAGCCUCCCUCGGCAUAUGGGUGAGUAGAUAAUGGCUGAGUUUACAUUUUUGGGUGCACUAUCCCUUUAAGGCCCUUCAUCACCUGUCUGAACUCCUUCAUAUCUACACAUCCUCCUGUACUCUGCAGUCCAGCUCACAUCACCAUCUGCCCUCCUGACCGCCAUGGGCUCUAGAUCCUUCAGCUGUUCUGUCCCCGCCUCUGGAGCUCUCUCCAACAUGACGCUCACAGUAUUGAUUCACCUUUGCACCUUCAGAUCCCGUCUGAAAGCACACCUCUUCAAGCUGCCUCAGUCUGACUUAAUUUAUCAACUUGUUUAGUGUAGUUUAUUUGCACAUACUGUGCAUGUACAGAAAAUACAGGAAAUGAAAAGAUAAAAGGUUGUGCAGGUUAGAAGCCAAAAAUGUCUCAUGAACACAUCCUCCCUUAUUAAAUAACAACAAUCAUACAUCAAAAUAAAAGGAUAAAAACAAUUUUCAUGACUGAAUAAAAGUUCCAGACUAAGAAGUUACAUACAUUUGUUAAAGAUGUACAACAAUAUAACUGAACUGUUUAAUUUUAUAAUCUGUGGAUAUAGAUAUUAGGUUUUUUUUUUUUUAACUGUGUCUUGUGAGGUGUGUUUGAGUGCUUUGAAAGGCGCCUUUAAAUAAAAUGCAUCUUCAUUAUUAUUAUUAUUAUUGUACAUAAGUGCAUUUACUGAGGAGCUGCACCUCAGCACAGUUCGGUAUGUGUACUGGAGUGUUUCCAUUUUAUGUAACUGCUAUUAUAGUAACUUUAAAUAUUUCACAUUAAUACAGUACGUAUAGUUAUCAGUCUUAUAAAAUGUGAAGCACAGUUCUAGAUCUAAAUACUGAAGAUGUGUUAACGUGCAUUUAGCUGAUUAUGCAUUUAAUAAUAAUAAUAAUAAUAUUAGGUCCAAAUAAGCCGAUCAAUGUUACCAAUAGCUCUAAAUGAGAACUCAUAAAUAUGUUUUAACACAUGUACGUCUACAUCAGUAAAGUCAUGUAAACAGCCUUCUCUUGUGUUGGUGUUGCUCCUCUUAAAUAAGAGAUCUCAGUGAACACACACUGAACACACACUGAACACACACUCUGAAACUUGGACACUCAGUAUAAUUUCUCCUGCAGUACUUCAUGUUAGAAAAAGAUGUAAAUACGUCCUCUGUCACUGCGAACAAAGUGCUGCUGAUAUCAUGUUGUGUCUUACCUCAGUGAGCAUCUGCUGCAGAGUCUGAUGUCUGUAACGUGUGUGUGUCCCGUCCUGGUGGUGGUUUCAUUGAAGCAGCAGGACGUUCUCCUUUAUAGCCCCCUCACCUCCUGCUGCUUCACCUCCAGUAGGUGGAGAGUCUCUAAUAAUGGCCCAUUCUGUUUGAUGUCACCUUAUCUGUCACCUAACAAUAGUCCCUGAGGCCCAGCUGUGUGUGUGUUUGGCUUCUUAACCACACGCUGAGUUUCUGACUGAAUUCAUUAUUUCUGUGUGUUGCUGUGGAAAAGUUUCACAAUCCAAACUUUGAAUUUAAACCUGUAGUCUGAAAACAGUGAUAACUUUCUUUUACCUCAUUUGAACCAGCAGGUGGCGAUGUGUCCUUUUGCACUAUGCAGCUAUCUGGCCAGAAGUAUGUGGACACACCUCUCCACAUUUCAUUUCAUUUAUGAAUACAGGAAGGUAAUUUGAAGUAACAUUAAGUGUUACAGUUAAAACUGCCCUGCCUCAGGUAAAGACUGGUUUCCAGCAGGUUCCUCUAAUGCAGGCAAGUCCAAAGUCUGGCCCGGGAGCCAAUUGUGGCCCGCAGACCAAUUUUAAUCGGCCCUCGGCUUGACUUUCAAUAUAUAACAUAUGUGGCCCUUUGCACAAUAAUGGUUAAUCAAGCAAGAUCACUUUGCAUUUUUACCCUUCACCUCACAAUGAUAGGACCAUCAUACAGUUUGCAGACAGGCAUCAAGCAGUAAUAAAUCAUUAAAAGAUAAAAAUAGUUGCAUUUGUCUCAUUUUUAAAAAAAACAAAAAAAAACAACAUUUGAUGCGAGAAUCAGUUGGCCCCCAGGCACUUUCACAUUAUUUUAUCUGGCCCCCUUCAAAAAAGUUCAUAUGGCAAAAUUGGAAUGACACAGACACAAGACAAUAAAAUAUUGAAAAAGCAAACCGACUGAAACAGAACAAACUAACAAAAAUAUGAUUAAAACUCUGUAGAAUAAAAAUACAUAAGUAAAAUGGAAUAAAAAUGAACAGGAGAAAUAAAGUAGGUAAAAAUCAGUGUUUAAAACCUAAAAAUCAAGAUUGUAAUGUUACCCCACAUUAAAAGCCAGAUUAAAAAGAUAGGUCUUUAAUUUACAUUUAAAAAUACAGAGAGAGUGUUCUCAUAUCCAGAGGUAACAAGUAGCAGAACAUUUAAAAGUAAAGCAGCGGAGGACCUCAGUGAUCUAACUGGAACAUAAAACGACAGAGAAUCUCUGAUGUAUGGAGGGGCGAGGUCAUUUAAAGCUUUAUGAACAAGUAAAACAACUUUAAAAUCAGUUCUAAAAGAUUCAGGUGUAGUGACUUUAGCAGCGGGGUCAUGUGAUUUAUUUUCCUUGUUUUAGGGUGCAUUCACACCAGGAUAGUGCGGGGGACUCGAUUUGAUUGGGCGGGGAAUGCAGAAAAAUUUCGCACCUUCAGUCGGUUCGGUUCACUUUCACACUGCGAAACAAACCGCCUGGACAACGUCACGUAGUUACAACAGCUGCUCAUUUGAGGGCGGUGUUGCCCGCAAUGACCACUGACCAGGAAGUUUUUUUCAUGAGGAAGAACCCGAGUCAUCGAUUGGCCACAAGCAACCACGAUAUAUCGUCCUCUGACCAUGUAUCAGUAAGCACCUCCUCACUACUCCGCGUCUGCCCACGAGACAUUUUCCAACUUUUUCUUUUUUUACCUCUGCUUCUCCCCGUUCGCACUGUUGGCUUUGUUUUUUUUUUCUACCCAAAAUGCACUGCGCUCUAAGUCACUUCCUCUCUUUGGUUCACUUCCUCUCUUUGGUUCACUUCCUCUCUUUGGUUUGCUGGAUAGUCUGUUUGUAUUUCCCACUGUAAGCGCAUCGCACCAGGGUUCACUUGCAAUUGAACCGAGACCCCCAUUUUUCAAGGGGACCAGGGUUCGUUUAAAGCGAACCAAAUAGCGCCAGUGUGAAUGUGUCCUUGUUGAUUUUUUUGGGUAGUCUGGUGAAAAGGGAGCUGCACCACCAAGCAGCUGGUGAUAAAAGCAUGAGUAGUGCUUCGGCAUCUUUCUGGGUCUGACCUUAGCAAUGUUCCGGACAUGAAAAAAGGAUGCUUUAAUGACCUUGUUAAAAUGAGAAUUAAAAUUUAAAUCAGCAUCUAAAAUCACUCCCAGGUUAGUAACAUCAGUUUUAAUGCGCUUGCUGAGGCCACCAAACACUGAGUGCAGUUUUUUUUUCUCUUGCUGCCUUUGGUCCGAUUAAAAGAGUCUCAGAUUUGUCCUCAUUUAGCUUUAAAAAGUUUUGACUCAUCCGUACAUUACUGUCAGUGAGACAGGCCAUGAGAGCGUCCAGGGCACCAGGGGCAUUUGGUGUGACAGAGAUGUAUAAUUACAAUACAAAAUAAAAACAGAAACAAUCAACAGAGGCAAAACAGCAGAACAGGAAGCUACACAGAAGAAGCAGAGCAGAGGGCUGACGUGGAGUGAAAUGAGAUGUAAAUCAGUGGUUACAGGUGUGUCCUUCCAUCAGAUAGUCGGUAUUCUCAAUUCAUGUUUUCCUAUGUGUUGUAUACACGUUGUAGGCUAAUACUGGUUCUCAGGUAUCGAGAGGCGCAGUGGUGUAAAUGUGUGUGUGAUGGUGAGAAGAGUGUGUUCAUGUCAUAGUUUCAUUAGCGAUGGAUUGGCUUCGUUUGGGAGUUUGUUAAUUUAUGUUUCUCGUGUUUGUCUCUGUUUUGUAGGUUUCCUUCCCUACAAUAUAUUCUUAUAUUGUAGGAAAUUAAUUUUUAUUUUAUUAUUGUCAUUUCUUAAUAUUUGAAAUAAAUAAAUUAGAUCUUAAAAUGUGUAAUCAAUGUUAUUGCUCUGAUGUAGUGUGGGAUCUCGUUCCAGAGUUCAGUGUGAGAGUGAGACAAAUGAUGUCUGACUGUAGCUGUUUCUGUGAGGCGCUACAGGAAUAAGAACAUGUGAAAGUGAUCUAGUGAUGUGUUGGCAUCUUGUGUUGUGACUUGGAAGUAGAGCAGGACGUGUAGGGGUGGAGUUGUUGUUUAGAAUCUGAACGUGACAUUUGAUGGCAUCACUAUUUGUGUGGUUUUGAAAAGUCGGGGCGUUCGAGUGUGAGAGUGCAGUGAUGAGUCCAGAGAGGGAGGUUGUGCCUAAACAUAACCACAUUAACCACAGUGCCGUUGAAACAUAAAGAAAUGUGAAGUUUCACCGUAUCUGCUUUGUAACAUGCAAAUGUAACAUAUCUGUUGUCUGCAGAAAAGGACGGCGCCACCAUUUAUUCUGGCGAGCGCGCUGCAAGAAGACACUGCUUCAUACUGAGAGGCCAAAAGCCAAAAUAGUUUCAGUUGAUGUGUGUGUGUUUCCAGCUUUGUAACGACAGUUAGUGUUUGACUUUUCUGCAUUUAAAUAUGAGAAUGCCCUCACACAUAAUGUCGCACUCAUAAAGAAAUGAUUUCACCAGUUGGGUGUGGAACAACUCGAACACCGACUGUGAGCCAGACCCUGCAUCAGUGUUUCAUCAAAUGGUGUGCCGUGGGAUUUGUGAUAACCACACAUCAUUAUUACAAUAUUCAUCUGGACCUAUACAAAAAGUUAUGAAUGAAUUUUUAAUUGACUGUAUCAGUAUGUUGUGGGCACCCAUUUCUUAUUAAAGAGGCAUGUUGCAAAAUGUAAUUUAAUUUAGUUUAAAAAAUGGGGUUCAUUUCUUUGUCAUUUCUUGGUCUGGUAUAGAGAUUGUUGUAUAUAUUUUUGUAUAUGUAUUAUUCAUUGUCACUGUGAAUAUUUUUCACUGUCUUUCAGUUAUCUUUGAUCAUGUGACCCAUCAUGUGACCCCGCUGACGUCCCUAAAAUGGCGUCCUAGAUGUAUGUCGAGCGUUUGGCUCGAAACAUCAGACGCAGUAUUUUUGGGACGUGCUAAAUGAAUGCACGUGAACUGGGAGCAUCAAGUGUGCCGACUAUCCUUCUUAACAACUGAAAGGAGAAAAGCCAUGAGUGGGACGAUGGAUUGCUUUAUUGUACGGAGCAAAUUACAACAAGGCACCAGCAAAGACGACCUACGACCCAAAGAAAAGAGAAAUAAAACAGUGGACAGUGUCACCAAAGCUCCCUCGUGUUGUCUUGUGUCGUGAUCAGAGUGAUAACACAUGUUACAGAAGCUGUUGUGCACAGAUAUAAAAACAGGUGUGCCUUGAGAUUUUGGCUUGCCAUUCGGUGUGACUUGGGAAUGAAAUGUUCAAAUAUUAUGUUCAGAUAUAAAGCCUGAGUGUCCCCAUGCUUUUGGCCAUUUGAAGAAUCUCAUUGGACACUUAUUUAACAUUAGGGCAAACAUAAAUCUCCUGGAGCACUGACAAUAUAUUUAAUUUACCUAAAAACACAAGAGACUUUCUUUGAGUCUCAGAUGUUUAUUAGAGUCAGUGUGUGAUUGUCGUGAGACGGUGAAAUGCCAAAGCGUGCUGCUAACAGCAGGACAUCUAGUAACAACAGAGUGUGUGAGAUAAGAGAGACAAUGCUCUUUCUCUGCUGCGAGAUUCGUCCCUGAGAAGCUGCAGAGAUCUGCGUUGAACAAACACGUCGUCACUGAUACGUGGGAGAAAGGAAAUGCAGACCAUCAUUGUUCUAACAGCCUCUGUCUCCUGACUGUGGAACACUUUAAACCAAAUGCAUCAGUUCAUGGCAGCUCUGGCUCCUUUAGUUUAAACUGAAACCCAACACAGUUACAGGCCCCACGAGGGAGCACAUAAAUCACUACAUUAAAACAAGUGGAACUUUGUGUCGAUGGUCAGCUGUGUUUCACCAGAUCUCACUGUGAAGUUUCACACGGGAUGAAGAAGAAAUCAUGCUUGAGUGACUAGAAACUGGAGGGCUGGUCGAGUGUGUGUCCCUGGGUGGAGUAGGUGUGAAGACGGAAAUAAUGCUUUUACUCUGAGUUGACCUGGCUGAAGCAAAUUAACUGUGUGUGUGUGUGUGUGUGUGUGUGUGUGUGUGUGUUUACGACUCACUGCGGUGCAUACAGAGGACAAAAACAGACACUGUUAGUGACACUCUGUGCUAAUGAUUCCUCCGUUCUUUUAUCUUCAGCACCUCUUACCACCAGUGAGGCACCAUCAGCAUCAGAGGGCCAUUAUCUCAGCAGAUCAGCCUGUGUUUCUACACAUGUGAGGACUCUCAGUGUUAUCUAACCUCUGACCUAAACCAUACUCUGAUCUUAACCCCCCGAACAGCCCUGUGAAGACAUGAGCAACGACUGGAAAAAAAUGUCAUCACUCAAAGGCUGAAACUCAGAUAAACCAGUACAGGGAUGAGGCUGACCGGAAUGAGAGUGAGGACGAUCACCAGCCACUGAGGGGCGUCCACGAGCACAGGCAGCUCCUCUCUGGAGCAGUUGAAGAAGUAGGAC